rnacentral:misc_RNA from 1 species
AACGCACAUUGCGCCCCUUGGUAUUCCGGGGGGCAUGCCUGUUCGAGCGUCAUUUCAACCCUCAAGCUUUGCUUGGUCUUGGGCUCUGCCGGCAACGGCUUGCCUUAAACUCAGUGGCGGUGCCAUUCGAGCUCUACGCGUAGUAAUAAAACCCUCGCGAUUGAGUCUUGGUGGAUGCUGGCCAGCAACCCCUCAUUUUUCUAUGGUUGACCUCGGAUCAGGUAGGGAUACCCGCUGAACUUAA